GACGAACGCUGGCGGCGUGCUUAACACAUGCAAGUCGAACGGAAAGGCCCUGCUUGCAGGGUACUCGAGUGGCGAACGGGUGAGUAACACGUGGGUGAUCUGCCCUGCACUUCGGGAUAAGCCUGGGAAACUGGGUCUAAUACCGGAUAGGAGCCAUUUUUAGUGUGAUGGUUGGAAAGUUUUUUCGGUGUAGGAUGAGCUCGCGGCCUAUCAGCUUGUUGGUGGGGUAAUGGCCUACCAAGGCGGCGACGGGUAGCCGGCCUGAGAGGGUGGACGGCCACAUUGGGACUGAGAUACGGCCCAGACACCUACGGGAGGCAGCAGUGGGGAAUAUUGCACAAUGGGCGCAAGCCUGAUGCAGCGACGCCGCGUGGGGGAUGACGGCCUUCGGGUUGUAAACUCCUUUCGCUAGGGACGAAGCUUUUUGUGACGGUACCUAGAUAAGAAGCACCGGCUAACUACGUG
rnacentral:rRNA from 1 species